UUGAUCAAACUAGCCGCGACCCCGUGUUGUCGUCGGUACAUUUUAAAGCGAUAUCAAGUACAAUUAUUUUUGCGUCAAUAAUUUUUUUAAUUAUUAAAAAGGAAAAGUAUAAAUCUGAACGUAAGAUAUAUAGUAAAUAAGUCCAGAUUAAGAAACAGUAUAUUUCAUGUUAUAUACUAAGAAUAUCAUGCGACUUUGCUUAAACAGGUGUAAAAUUAAAUAAACUAAAAUAAGUCAACUAAUAAUUAAAAAAUUGGAUUUAAAUAAGUGAUACGGUCACAUUUUGUGCACAAAUCUUGGUUCAGUGAAUAACAUUUAACAGCUUGGUCAGCAUUCAUGCUUAUUACAGAUAGAUAUACAGGGACCCGCUGACAAUGUUAAUAUACACAUUCUUACAGAAAACUGUUUGUGAAAAUAUAGUGCAACAAGCAGUUGAGACCUACCAAAUGAAUGUUUAACAUCUAAUUAAUAUUAUUUGAACUUAUUAUUAUUAUUUAAUUAUGAUUUAAAAAAUUAUAAUUCUCAUGAUGUUUAUAGCACAUUUUUAUCUCCCUGAUGGACAUUCUCAACAUA